AGAAGUCCUCAAGUGCUUGAUUUCAUUCUUCCAGGAUGUUGUUUCUUAAGGUCAUGGUAAAGAAUGAGGCUCUAUCGACCUUAGACUAUCACUUAGAGGGUGCCAGUGUCCAUAAGAAGAACGUCCAUUAAGGACUUGACUGACGUGGUACUAAUCCAGAGAUGACCUUAAGGACUAUAAAGAAGGGACGUGAUCCGACUUGUUUUUGGAACUUAAUACUGAAGUACUUCUCUUUUCAGAUGGAUUGGCUUACCCUACUAGAAGAUUUCACCCUAAUUUGAUAAGGCAUAAGUCAUUCAAAACUCGUCAAUUUUGAUAGAUAUCUUUGUACCGAAGAAAAUGAUAAAUAAAGAAGAAAGAAGAAAGAAGAAAGAAGUAAGAAGAGAGAAGAAAGAGAGAGAAGAGAGAAGACAGAAGAGAGAAGAGAGAAGAAAGAAGAAAGAAGAAAGAAGAAAGAAGAGAGAAGAAUGUAAAAUGAAUUGUAAUAAAUGAAAUGUACAAAAUAUGAAUAAUGAAAAAAAUUUAAAACAAAAACCUUCCAAUUCCAAAACCAGAAACAAUUGACGUCACAAUCCUAUGGUAGUAGCCUAUGGUGGUAGAAACAAAAGAACCUUAUCUGGUUACGCAAUUAUUGAGAGGUUAUUUAAGUCCAUCCACCCAAUGUUGAACUACUCAACACACAAUACCAUGAUGAUCAUGAAGGUUCCAGGAAGGAAUACCAUUCAAGCAAACAACUGAAGGCUAAACAGGGUGUCUGGAUAAGAAGAACCGUCUGCAGGAGCUGCUAAGGUUGAUGGUAUUUGGCAGUAGACUCUUUCACACCCCCCUCCCUGUGGCACAGAUUGAAUCCAGCUUGAUUUCUAGAUUGAUCCGGAUGUGUACGUACCCUACAUGGACUAAAUUUUUUAUACAAACUAAAUGUUAGUCAUUUAAAAUGAGGAGGUAUUUAAGGUCACAUCUCAAAGGAGAAUUUGGAUGAUACAAACGAAACACCCAUCAGCUGAAAUUACGGAGAUUUAAGCUGGUUGACGUGGUACUAAUCCAGAGAUGACCAUGGACGUGGAUUACCACCCUCGAAUGGAGGUGGAUUACCUUCAGAUGGAUUACCCCCAGAUGGCCUCACUUUAUCAUGAUGGAUCACUUUAAGUUCAUACGAGUCACUUUGGACAAGUA